rnacentral:rRNA from 1 species
UGGGGAAUAUUGCACAAUGGGCGCAAGCCUGAUGCAGCCAUGCCGCGUGUAUGAAGAAGGCCUUCGGGUUGUAAAGUACUUUCAGCGAGGAGGAAGGCGUUGUGGUUAAUAACCGCAGCGAUUGACGUUACUCGCAGAAGAAGCACCGGCUAACUCCGUGCCAGCAGCCGCGGCAAUACGGAGGGUGCAAGCGUUAAUCGGAAUUACUGGGCGUAAAGCGCACGCAGGCGGUCUGUCAAGUCGGAUGUGAAAUCCCCGGGCUCAACCUGGGAACUGCAUCCGAAACUGGCAGGCUAGAGUCUUGUAGAGGGGGGUAGAAUUCCAGGUGUAGCGGUGAAAUGCGUAGAGAUCUGGAGGAAUACCGGUGGCGAAGGCGGCCCCCUGGACAAAGACUGACGCUCAGGUGCGAAAGCGUGGGGAGCAAACA